UAGUAAGGUUGAGGUGGUGCGGGGGUAAUAGGUAGGGGGGAGGGUUUUGUCUGGAUGACUGUGGGUGAAGAGUGUGUAGGUGUGUGUUGAAGUUAGAGGGGUAGGUCCUGUUGUGAACAUGAGAAGUUCGUUUUUGUAUGGAAGGGUAUAGGGCGGGAGAGGUGUGAGGAAUUCUUGUUGUAGCAGUGUAAUGCGUGUAGAUGAGGAAGAACAUCCGGGGCGAAGGGGGCACGAUGUGCGAGCACUGACACUGAGGCACGAAAGCGUGGUGAGCAAACAGGAUUAGAUACCCUAGUAGUC
rnacentral:rRNA from 1 species